CUCAUCUCAUGUCAUCUCAGGGAAGAAUAAGAAGAAGAAAAAUAUAUGGCUGCUGCUCCAUGACCAUGACCUUGAAUUGUUGCUGCUGCACCAGAUCGAGGAAGAAGAAGACCUGCAAAAAAAGCAAUAACUAGCAAUGCACAAGCAUGAAUUCAUGGAAGGACGGAUGCAAGGCCAAACACCCAGCAUACUGUUUCUUAAUGCCCCAACUACUUAAAAAACCAUGGUAGUUCUAACCAUAUUAAAUUGAAGACAAAGUGAAGUCAUGAUAUUGAGAGUUCCAUCUUAUAAAGCUUUCUGUUUAGCAUAUCCUAAAUCACAGUCUAUCUACCAAUAUAUGAACUCUUUAGUUUUCAGAACCGAGGCUCACAUAUUUGGGCUGAUUUGUACACUGUAUUUUCAGUAUUUUUUUUAACUUGAGACAAACUAAAUGCUAACAUCAGUGACAACAAGAAUUGAACAGAAAUAGCUAUUGAAGAAACACGUUUAUAAGAUAGAAUGAAAAUGAUUUACACCACAACAUAUAUUUCACAUGUACUGGAGCUAGAGACUACAGAACACACAUAAUCACACAUAUGCGAACAGGGUACUACUCCAUGGUUCAGGUUACACUAAUAAACAAAAUUAUACAAGCGACUAGACUAGUAUCACAGAUCUACAGAGUAGUACUAAACAACUAAAAAUAAGUAGUAGAAGUAACUAGUACAGGGAGCAAGUACUCCUUUCAUUCACUUUAAACUGAGACAACUGAAAAGGAGUACUCCUUUCAUUUAAUUUACUUUAAACUGAGACUACUAAAAAGGAGUACUCCUCUCUUGAGAAGUUGAUGUAAAUGAAAUCCAGGAGUAUGUGAGAAUAUGUCCAUCUUUAUUUCUUU
rnacentral:rRNA from 1 species